UGGGUUGUGGCUUAGCAGUAGAGCGCAUGCCUAGCACGUGUGGGGCGCUGGGUUCAAUCCUCAGCACCACAU
rfam:Ictidomys tridecemlineatus contig030931, whole genome shotgun sequence.